UUGACCUUACUCUGAAUUUCAUAUUCAUUAGAUGAGUUAUGGAAUUGAUCACUGUUCGUUAUCUUCACCUUUUCAUAUACACGGUCAAAACUAUUCAAAUUCAACCCGACUUCUACUAUACACUGUAGAUAUGGUGUUCCUGAUGAAAAUAAUUCAUACCAUCAUGUCAUCAGUACCAGUACCUACAGUAACUAGAAACCUCUCUUCUUGAAUUGAUGAUGUUUUCUUAGAUUGUUUCGUUAGCAUUGUUUGUACAUCGUCGAUUAUUAUUAUUAUACUUUCACUUCUAAUUCCGUGCGUUUCAUGGAAAACCAAUUACUUCUUACCUUAAUAAUCUUAGAAUUCCUACGCCUCGGAUUGAUAAUUGCACGCGCGACCACCCAGUAGCCAGCAUCGUAAGUAUCAGAUCAUUUUGACCAAUUCAUAACUAGCUUGUAGAACAAUAAGUUUGGUCUUCGAAGCAGUCCAUAUUUUCGUAAGGAAUAAAGGUAAGAUAUUGGUAAAACAUUUAACGGACUCCACAGCGAAACUUUCUAGGAAUUGUCUGAACUUUGAAGGUGUAGUAUUGGUACAAUGAUUCGAAUUCAUUCGUAGAGUCGACGUAGAAUAUUUUUUACAACCAAAACGCCAUUUCAAAGACUCGUCGUUUUGAAAAGAAAUCUUGAGUAGACGAUGGAUCCUCCUAGGCACCUGAUUUCACCUCUGGUGUGUCCAGGGGUCCGUGUUUGCCCAGCUAUCUAUUUUGUAUUGCUUAUAGGAGUUAUAAGAUUGAUCACUGUUCGUUAUCUUCACCUUGCAUUUCCAAAUGUGGAAUUCUUCUCAAUUGCAGGUAUAAAAAUUUCAGUAAAAAGAAAGACAGUAUAUUUAAAACAUAUUUUAACGGAACCAAAAUUUGUACCAUGAGCUAUUUGGGUUUUGUCUAUACUUGUUGCUUAUGAAACAAAAUGCGGAUAUACAGCGUCUCUAAUCUGAAAAAGUGUUUAGGACUUCCACCUCAUACUGCAAAUGUAUUACAUUUGGCUGUGUAUUCUAUUUAGCGUCUUUGACGGAACGCAGCUUCCGCUAAAUCAAGUGCAUCACUAAAUGCCAUCCGUAAAUCUAGAUGUUUAAAGUAAUUCAGGAAUGCUCUAAAACAAAUCUACGCUAACUUGUUGAAAAAACGAUUUCCGCCAAAUAUCGUACACGCCAAAUAUAAUACGUUUACAGUAGUUUUCCAUAAUCUUAUAAAAUGUGCAUAUCUUACAAAGUUUUAUUGCAACAAAAACAUACGGUUUUCUUACGCUCGAAUUAAAUGAUAUUUGUCUUCUGUUAUGUUGAAGAUGGAUAUUUUGUCCAAGGAACUGAAAUUCAACAGACCGUGAAGAUGACUCGGGUGUAGAGAAGCAUGCAUUCGGACAACUAAAUUCGCUCCUUCCUCUUCAACGACUGCCGCAUCACUUUUUGAGAAUUUAAUGAUGAUUAUCAUGAUGAUAAUGAUGAUAUUCUUUACUUAUACAAAAUUUCACAAUUACUUAUUGUACAGACUAGUAAACGUCGUCCAGUUGAUGACAUCGCAAAAAGCAAGGACCCGUGUCACAGCAGAUAUACAUAAAAUUCAGGUGUUUUAUUAUGUGUAUUAUGUAAACAUAUCUGCAAGGGGGUAAGCGGAACUCGGGGAUUUACACGAAUCAGGUUCUCGCUUAAAUGUCUGACUCUAUACUCAGUGUAUUCCAUCAUCAUUUCAGGGGGAAUAUGGGGAUCACCUUUGUUUACCUUAGGGGCUGGUUUGACCCUUGUGGUACCAAUGGCAAGUUUUGGGCUUAUCCUUGUAUGGUACCAAGGGAGGCGGGAUAGAAUGAGGACCUGAGCCAGUACUUGAUUUCCAAAUCACAUGUGGUAUUCUCUCUUGUUAUGGUACCAAGAAUUCUCGCUCAUCAUGAUCAAAUGUGGGUGCGUCUUUUGCCAGUUGAUGGGGGCAUUUGGUGAUUCUGCGGUUUCUGCCUGGGUAACUCAAAGAAGUGGAUUGUAGAUUGUGACAAAUAAUCGCCACAAACUUGUAAUAUUCAAGUUUUUUCAUUAAAGUGUUGUAAUUUAUACGAUUUGUCAUGUUUAUUUCUGCACCUGGAAUUAUUGACUAUUUUGAGUGUAGUUUCUUACAGUGGACGACAAAGCAAAACAGAAUGAAUGAAUAGCUACCAACAUGCAGACACCCAAUAACAAACCCUUAUCAUGAUGAUUGUUACAAGUAUUAACAUUGAUUCCGUCUACUUAUUCUAGCAUCCAUUCCACGUUUCCUUAGACAUCCCUCCACUUGUUCCUACAGUAAACUUUCCCAUAAAGGCAUUCGUAGCUGUAGGUCAUCACGCAGGAAGUAGAGGUAGAAGUCACAGAAAAACAUGCUCACACAUAACACUCAGACUCCGUUUGCCUGAUCAGGAUAUGGGGCUCAUGGCGGGUGUGACCGGUCAACAGGCACCUGAUCCCACCUCUGGUGUGUCCAGUGCUCCGUGUUUGCCCAACUAUCUAUUUUGUGUUGCUUGUAGGAGUUAUGAGAUUGAUCACUGUUCGUUAUCUUCACCUUGCAUACUACACACUCCAAAGCAGAUGUUCCUGCAGAGAAAGUCAUAUAUCAUCAUGAAAUCAAUGAUUGGAUGCCAGUAAGAGUCACUUUGAUUGGAUCUGUAUUUAUAAUCUUUUAUCUUUGGACAUAUUUUUACCUUAUGAAAACAGCAUGGUAAAAAAUUAAAUUUUCUCAGCAAUAAUUGAAUUGUUUUAAUCUUAAAUGCAAAUACGUUAUGUUUCCUUUUAGGUGAAAAACUAUUUCAAAAUAUCCGAUAAAAAUAGGUAACGCAUUAAUUGUCUUGCUAACUAUAGAUUUUACAACCGUAUGAGAUUUACAAAUCGUCAUGAAAUUUCUUGCAAAGCUCAUCAUUAUUCCAUUGCUAUCACAUAUUAUAUCAUGUAUAGAAGAGGGCAAUAUACAUCAUCAAGAUAUUUGUGAUGACCAGGUCGUGGGUACGGAUAUAGCUGUCGAGGAGCAAUCAGGUGAUUCCGACAAAACUGGCUCAUCAAUAAUUGUGCCACUAGGUUCAGAACAUCGACUGGUUCAACUUGUAUAAGAGGUGAAACUUGUGGAAUCGGAAUUCAAACGCAAAAAAAAAACCGUUUAUGAUAAAUAUAAUAUCAAAUGUAGAUAUAAUCAUCUCCAGUUGAGGAAAAUGAAAAACAGUGUUAUCAGUAUAAAGAUACAAAACUCAGAACACGUGGUUCAGAACCAGGAAUUUUAUGUGUCAUUGAAUACACCGGAUACAAUGCCUUUGAUCUGCACAACUUGGAAACACAUUCCCUCUGAAGCCUAAACUCGACUUUGACAAUAAUGAUCAAAACACAGAAUGUUCUCACAUUAUCAUCCGAUGCACUUCAGAACAGAGAUUUGUGGACUUUCAUGAAGGUUUCCCCAAAUCAGCUACACGUACUUAGGGAGUUUCUGUGACCAGAGAAGUAGACAAAAACGAGAGGAAAUAGACAUUGGUGAAAAUUCAUAUAACAUUGUUAAUUAUCAGCUAUUCCCAGCAAAAUUAACACACUGAUACAUGUAAAUGAACACCGACUGCCAACAACAGUUUAAAAUGUAGUCGCUAUAAUUGUACUUUCACAGCAUGUUAUGUAAUUUCAUAUUUUUUUAUUUCAAUGAUAUUAUGAGCUGCUGUCAUAUCGAAUAAAACAACAUUGAAUGUGUAA